UCCCGGAUUAUCUUAAGUAUUUUAAAAUACUUUCUGUGACUAUUAAAGUCUGCUUUAACUAUUUAUCGAAUAUUAUUUCGACACGGCUUAAUAGUACUUUUCUUCCGUGGCUUAGGGAAUAAUUUUCGUCAUGCUUUUAACUUGAUCCAAGAUAACGGCUUCAACCAAAUUAAUGGUUCUAGUAAUUAAAUUCUCAAGCCCAGCUGGAAAUUUAUUUAUUCUGGCCCAGACUAUUUAUUUUCUUAAACAAAAUGGCCCAUCUUCCUUCCUUUGUAUUUUUUAUUCACUGAGGCCCAAAGCAAUUAACUGGGCAUGGCCCAAUUAAAGGAGAGCAUACUCCCUUCCUCACCGUGAACGGCCCCUCUCCCAAAUUGAAGAUCGGGGGAACCCUAGCUCAUCUGUCCCUCUUCAUUCUCGGCGCAGCUAAUCCACCGCCACCGUUCACCGUCGUCUCCGGCGCCACCCACCUCUCCUUAACUUUCUCUGUCCUCAUCGCUUCUCGAUUUUUGGGGGAGGGGGGGCGUCUGAGCUCGCGACAGUUACAACGACGCCUCGCCUGUCGGCCACCACCGUGUUUCCUUCAGACGCUGCCGCUGCUGCUACUUCGACGGGGUUCGCUGAUGCGGCGGAGAAGGGAGGCUGAGGUCGCCAUUCAGCCGCUGCUGUCUCCCGAUUCCAGAGCUAAGUCUCUUUCUCACUUAGUGCACGAGGCUUGGCAAAGAUUCUGCCACUGAACAAUCUGUCAUUGCCGUUUCAAGGGGCUGGGCAGCUGUCUUGCUACAGUUCUGGUUCAUCCUGGGGGAUGUAUGGGCACGGCCCCUCACCGUGGUUCGGUCUCCACCGAUUUGCUCGGCGUUGGCAGUGUCUGAACUAGCUACCGAGGCUGCCUUCCUCGUGAUCUCGCCCUCUCGGCUCGUUCGAAAAUCUGUGGCCGAGAUGGCCCGGUGACGAAGGCCAAAGUAGCCCUUCGGGAUUUCUAAAUGUAAUAGUGUAGUAGCUCAACUUUUAAUUUUCGUCGUCAAAGAUUGUAACUUUAGUUUUGAGAUUCUGAAAACUGUAAUUUGUACCAUUUCUCAAGAAAUAAAAAUACUCUUUCAUUCGUUAAA